rnacentral:rRNA from 1 species
CUAACACAUGCAAGUCGAGCGGUAGCACAGGAAGCUUGCUCCUGGGUGACAAGCGGCGGACGGGUGAGUAAUGUCUGGGAAACUGCCUGAUGGAGGGGGAUAACUACUGGAAACGGUAUCUAAUACCGCAUAACGUCUACGGACCAAAGUGGGGGACCUUCUGGCCUCAUGCCAUCACAUGUGCCCAGAUGGGAUUAUCUAUUAGGUGGGGUAAUGGGUCACCUAUGCGACAAUCCCUAUCUGGGCUGAGAGGAUGACCACCCACACUGGAACUGAGACACGGUCCACACUCCUACGGGAGGCAGCAGUGGGGAAUAUUGCGCAAUGGGCGCAAGCCUGAUGCACCCAUGCCCCGUGUGUGAAAAAAGCCUUCUGGUUGUAAAGCACUUUCUCCGAGGAGGAAAGGGAUUGUGUUAAUAUCACAUUGUAUUGACGUUACUCUCACAAAAAACACCGGCUAACUCCGUGCCACCACCCGCGGUAAUACAGAGGGUGCGAGCGUUAAUCUCAAUUACUGGGCGUAAAGCGCACGCACGCGGUUUGUUAAGUCACAUAUGAAAUCCCCGCGCUUAACGUGGGAACUGCGUUUGAAACUGUGAAGCUAUAGUCUUGUGUAGGGGGGUAUAAUUCUACGUGUAUCGCUGAGAUGCGUAUAGAUCUGGAGGAGUACCGGUGUCGAAAGCGGCCCCCUGUACAAAGACUGACACUCACGUGCGAAAGCGUGUGGAGCACACACGAUUAGAUACCCU